rnacentral:lncRNA from 1 species
AGGUGUAUUGAAUAACAAAGUGAAAUGUUCAUACCUCAUAAAGUUUGUUUUUGGAUAUACGUUUGUCUUUUUUUUUUUCUUUUUUUGUCUGUAUUUUAUUUUGUUAUUGGGGUUUUUAUUGUGUGGGUUUUUUUUAAUGUGAGAGGGGAAUUCAGGGUGGGAGCAACAUUUGAGAUAUACAACAAUAGAUACUGUGACAUAAGCCUUAUAUACAAGGUUGAGCUAAACAAAUUAUUAAAGUAACACAAAAACUGAAACAUCGAAAAAUGCACUCUUUAUGCCAAUGUAAUAAAGGAAUAUCCAUUUAACACAUUUUUCGUUUUGAGUCGUCCUUUUUGUUUCAAUAAGUACAUUGUAACAUUUACAUGAAGGAAAGAAUGGUUGAACAGCACUGAAUAUAAGAGCCCCAGUUUUUUUUUUUUUUUUUUUUUUUUUUUUUUUUAUUUCUACCUGGUUAGUAAAAUCAUCAUUUAUAAUG